CUGCAUUUUGACUGCCCUCCUCUCUUUCCAGAACGUCCUCUUUUUCCUUCCCUCAUCUGCCCUCGAAGGAAUCCUGUCACCUCUCCAGGGGCCUUUUCCCAAAGGACUUGUGAGCAAGCAGGCCAUGUCCUUUGGAAGUCUGAUCAUUCUUGUGCUCUUUGGCAUUUCUUCCAACUUUUCCACAUCUCUCUUGAGCUGCUGGUACUUUAGAUGAAGCCUUACUGGUGUGAAAUGGUUUGGACAGAUUCCUGUGUCUUCUGUGCAAUACUUCUGUUAAGUGCCUUGGUAUCAUCUUUGCUUUGCAGCUGUACGAUAUUGUUGACUCACGCUGUGCUUGUAAAUGAAAUAACAACUUGGGCUUCAAUUCUGUUUGUGGUAUUUCACAUGCAGAAACAAAGCAAGCUGGCAUUUAGCAUCACUCUUGCUAAUCUCAUGUCUCAUUCUCCUACUCCAGAAUUUAACGCAAGUAGCCUUUUAUGGAGGGAAGUAUUUAAAUGCUGCCCAUCAGUGAGGAAGAGUGUUUGGGAGCUCAACAGAUCCCUCAGUGGUUGUCCUGAAUUUCUGAAUUUCUAAUGUCUCAGAAGACUCAUUAUUAAUACCCAAAAAUAGCCAGAUGGCAUGAAACAGUAAAGGCCAAAUAAUUCAUCAUUCUACAGACUUGCGAUGGACUGGCCCCCAGAAAAAUCCACAAUGGUUGAAAAUCUUUUCAUGUGCUGCAGGUAAGACAGUUCCUUCAUUUGUAACAUUGCAGAGUUGGGUUUCUAAAUGCUGCAGUGAAAUGUAAACUGCUAAUAAAAUCCUGGUCUUGACAGGUAAAAGUCACUCUUUUCUGGAACUGUUUUAUAAACCUUUUACUUUAUGCUUCACAACAUAGCAGUGUUUCUUUAAAAAGAAUACCAUCACAAGCACCCUACAGCUAAACCAUGAAGAACAGUUAAUUGCCCUUCAACUAAAAUAACUCCAUGAGCAAUCAAUCGAUGAAGAACUGAGAGUAGCACUAUUUGUCAGUCAUCUGCAGCCAGCUGACUCUUUGGAGGCCACCACUGCUGCCUUCAUUGGAUUAUUGGGUCACAAAUAGACCCAAUAAUCAGCCCAGCCAUUCACAUGCAACACAGCAACUACAUGACACGUGUUGUGCUCAUUCCUCCAGAUUGUUGUCAUAUGGCUGUUGAUUGUGCAUGACAAACACAUGAAAAAGCCAUUUCUCAGGCUUGAUGAUCCAGUCUGCCCAGGCUUGGUUUGGUGGCCAGUUGAAUGACAUGAAAAGUUGCAGCUGGAGGUGACAGGAUGGGAAGAAUGAUAGAAAUUCUAAUGAGUAUUCUUACAAAUCCCCAGGAGACAGCUCAUGCUGGGGCACCCAGCUCAGGUGCUUGUGAAAUCAGCUGUUAUUUCAUGUAAGCCCAAUAGUUGUGGUGUUAUUUGUAUUAUUUUAAUUCUUUUGUUUCAAGCUGAUGACCAGUUUGGAGGUUACUGAGUUGCCUGUGCUACAUGAUGGUGCUAGACAUGGUCUUGAUGAAGUCCUGUUUAUUUAUGAAGCAUGAAAAAGUCUUCUUUCCUAGAAUGCUGGGUUAAGUAAAGCUCAGACUUUGCACAGUGCUUUGACCAAGGCCAGUGUUUUGACAAAUAUAACCAGCAAAAGCGCACUCUCAAAGUUUCCUCUUGCAUCAGCAGACACAAAAAGGCAUUUUCCUUUCUCCCUCUGUCCCUGACAUGUGCACGUGUUUGGGUUUUAUCUCUCACACAAACACAAAGCUCCAGAUUUCAAAUGCCCUUUUUGCACUUUCUGUGUCAGCCUCAAGGGAAGCCAUGCGAAUAAUGCGCAAUGUACAGAAGCUUUGCUAUGUGCCUGUCAUUGUUUCAGCUCUCUGAUUCUAGAGAGAUAUUUGUUAGUCUUUUUGUGCUUAUUUUAAGGAACAGUUAUGGUUACCCACCAAUUUCUGUGAAUUUCCAUGAAACGGAUCUUCAUUCCAGCUUAGCAAGACAUUCACACCAGUAAUUUGAACACUGGUUUUACCUAAACAUUUCCAAUAACACAUUUUGAGGGUGCAUCAUUCUUUUUAGGGUCUUCAUAUUUCCUUGUUCUGAAAACCAGCCUUCCUCCCUGGUAUAUUGAGCACAUAUGCUUGCUGCCUGGACUGGUUUUGUACAUUUUAUCUUUGUAUUUAUUUCCUUGUGUGAAAAUGGGCAUUUUGAACAAUAGGAUACCAUGUGUGGCACAUGGUGAGAUCUGAAAGCCUUAAUUUUAAAAACAAUUACAUCCUAAAUGCAUCUGUCAAGCAAGUGGAAAACCUCUGUGUCAAGUAGGGCUGACAAAAGAGAUGAAGAUGUAAUUGCUUCUGGUUUAGUCUAUUUUCUUCAUGAGGUUUAAAGCCUUUCCUGGUGGUCCUUGGGUGGUUCCCUGCAUCCCACUGACUUGCUCCAAUGGACUGAAUAAAUCAUUUUAUCUUUGUGCACAGAUAAUGGCAGUUUUUACCUCCACUGGGUGUCAAGAGGCCAAUGUGCAGAGUGUAUGUCAACUACAAGAAGUUGCUUAUUAUGGUCAUUGCAGGCAAAAUGCCAGGAGCUGCUAAUUGGACAAAAUGGAGAA